rnacentral:rRNA from 1 species
CACGUAGUUAGCCGGUCCUUAUUCCCCACCUACCGUCAACCCCACGAGAACGUGGAGCCUGCGUUAGGUGGUAAAAGAGGUUUACAACCCGAAGGCCGUCAUCCCCACGCGGCGUCGCUGCACUCAGGCUUUCGCCCCAUUGUGCAAUAUUCCCCACUGCUGCCUCCCGCAGGAGUCUGGGCCGUGUCUCAGUCCCAGUGUGGCCGGUCGCCCUCUCAGGCCGGCUACCCGUAAUCGCCUUGGUAGGCCGUUACCCCACCAACAAGCUGAUAGGCCGCGAGCCCAUCCCUGACCGAUAAAACUUUCCACCCUCCACCAUGAGGUGGUGGGUCGUAUCCGGUAUUAGACGGCGUUUCCACCGCUUAUCCCAGAGUCAGGGGCAGGUUGCUCACGUGUUACUCACCCGUUCGCCGCUCGUGUCCCCGAAGGGCCUUACCGCUCGACUUGCAUGUGUUAAGCACGCCGCCAGCGUGUCUCGAGCACGGACGUCGAAACACU